GGCAUGCCCAGUAGAGCUCGCUUUGUAGCCUGAAAUCCAGCCUCUAAAUUUGAACAGGAGGGAGAUGAGAUGACGGAGCAGACUUUUGCUGCUGCUCCUGCUGCUGCUCUCUCUGGCACAGUUCUCCCUCUCACAUGUGAGUGUGUGGAAGGGUUUAGUUUUCUUUUGUAAAUAAAGAACACCUUAUUAAUUAGAAGAGGAGAUUGGAGGGCAGGAAAAAAAAAAACUUCCUCUCCUGCAUAACCUGCUCUGUCAGGCACUCCUACCUCCAGGAGAGCAGAAGGACUAAGCUUGAAAUGCAGUCAGCAGGGAGCUGGAGUGUGAAACGUGGGGAGAGAACCAAGAAAGAGGGGCUGAGCGGGGCUCCGGUUCCUCCGUUGCACAGAAGCUGCCACAACAACAGAUCUGAAUGUACAGGUUACCAAAAAUGUGAUCUCAGUUGUUCAGAAGAAUUCAACUUCUGAAGUCUGAGGACCUGUAAAUGGCAUGAUCAAGGAUGUAUCGAAGCAUCUCAUUUUUGACAACAAAGAAGUUGUAUGAAGAAGUUAACAAAGGAUGUGGAUUUGAAGAUGUCAGAGUUUGGACUGCCAGCUGUAUAUUCAGCAACUUAAAAUUACGUCUUUCAUUUGGACAUUCGUUACAUCGCAGUGUGCAUCAUUAAUUAAAAUGGAUGCACUAUAUUUACGAGCUUAACAUAUAUGAUUUUAUUUCAAGUUUGAAAUUGCAGUGUGUUGACUCUUUCAGCUUCUACCCGGAGAUAACCGUACCUACAUGGAGUAUUUUCUGUACGUUCAACAAGCUUUGUCUUUCUCUCUGUUUCAGAUUAUUAGACAAGAUCUGAACAUGUUGAAACAGUCCAGGAACCUGAGACGGAUUUAAAAAUGCACAUCGACUGCAGCCGCCCCCUAUGAACAUACACACAUAUUUGUGUGCGUGGGAUGUCAUGUCCAGAAUGUACUUUUAAAUAAAGCUGCAAGUCUCAUGGAAUGUCUCUUAAAAAUACUGUAAUGUCAAUAAAAUACUUUCAAAGUU